CAAUAGUACUAAAAUUUAAAUAUGUACACGUUAUAUAUAUAUAUAUAGUAAAGUUCUAUGAUGAUACUUAUUAUGUGCGCAAAUCUAAUCAAAUUACGAUUUAAAAGUGUUACAAAAGCUACAUAUAGUGAUAAAUGAAGCUACCCAGCAACCAUUUUAGCGAAAAAUGUAAAGUUCUAUGAUGAUAUUUAUCAUGUGUGCACAUCUAACCAAAUUACGAUUAAAAAAAAUGUUACAAAAGCUACAUAUAGUGAUAAACGAAGCUACCCAGCAAUCAUUUUAGUGAAAAAUGAUAAUAAAUAUAUAUUGCAAGAUAUUAAAAAAAAUAUUAUAACAAAUAAACCACAUAUAUUACGCAAAAGAACUGAUUUCCCAAAAUUUAGUGAUAUUAAUUCGAUAAGUCUAAUAGAUAAAAACAAAGGCAAUGAGUCUGUGAUACUAAACAAGGAGUGUAUUACCAAAA